AAUCAACGCUGGCGGCGUGCCUCAGACAUGCAAGUCGAACGAUUAAAGCUCUCUUCGGAGAGUGCAUAAAGUGGCGCACGGGUGAGUAACACGUAAGUAAUCUACCUUCGAGUGGGAAGUAACGUCCGGAACGGACGCUAAUACCGCAUAACGCAGCGGCAUCGCAAGAUGACAGUUGUUAAAGAUUUAUCGCUUGAAGAGGAGCUUGCGGCAGAUAGCUUGUUGGUAAGGUAACGGCUUACCAAGGCUACGAUCUGUAUCCGGUCUAAGAGGACGGUCGGACACACUGACACUGAAUAACGGGUCAGACUCCUACGGGAGGCAGCAGUCGGGAA
rnacentral:rRNA from 1 species